GUGUCCCUACGGGAGGCAGCAGUGGGGAAUAUUGGACAAUGGGGGGAACCCUGAUCCAGCGACGCCGCGUGAGUGAAGAAGUAUUUCGGUAUGUAAAGCUCUAUCAGCAGGGAAGAAAAUGACGGUACCUGACUAAGAAGCCCCGGCUAAAUACGUGCCAGCAGCCGCGGUAAUACGUAUGGGGCAAGCGUUAUCCGGAUUUACUGGGUGUAAAGGGAGCGCAGGCGGCUUGGCAAGUCUGAUGUGAAAGGCUGGGGCUCAACCCCAGGACUGCAUUGGAAACUGUUAGGCUGGAGUGUCGGAGG
rnacentral:rRNA from 1 species